rnacentral:rRNA from 1 species
CAGUCGCCGCGGUAAUACGUAGGUGGCAAGCGUUGUCCGGAAUUAUUGGGCGUAAAGGGCUCGCAGGCGGUUUCUUAAGUCUGAUGUGAAAGCCCCCGGCUCAACCGGGGAGGGUCAUUGGAAACUGGGAAACUUGAGUGCAGGAGAGAAAAGUGGAAUUCCUAGUGUAGCGGUGAAAUGCGUAGAGAUUAGGAGGAACACCGGUGGCGAAGGCGGCUUUUUGGCCUGUAACUGACACUGAGGCGCGAAAGCGUGGGGAACAAACAGGAUUAGAUACCCGUGUAGUCCCUGUCUCUUAUAC